rnacentral:ncRNA from 1 species
CAUAAAGGCUUGGUCCUGACUUUACUGUCAGCUCUGGCUAAACUUACACAUGCAAGUAUCCGCACCCCUGUGAGAAUGCCCUCCAGUCUCCCGCCCGGAAACAAGGAGCCGGUAUCAGGCACGGUAAACACCUGCCCAUGACACCUUGCUUAGCCACACCCUCAAGGGACAUCAGCAGUGAUAGAUAUUAAGCCAUAAGUGAAAACUUGACUUAGUUAAGGCCUAGAGGGCCGGUAAAACUCGUGCCAGCCACCGCGGUUAUACGAGAGGCUCAAGUUGACAGACAACGGCGUAAAGAGUGGUUAGGGAAAUUUUAAACUAAAGCCAAACGUCCUCAAAGCUGUUUAACGCUCCCGAGUUAAGAAGAUCCAUUACGAAAGUAGCUUUACCCAUCCUGACCCCACGAAAGCUGUGACACAAACUGGGAUUAGAUACCCCACUAUGCUCAGCCAUAAAAUUUGAUAGGCCCCUACGCCCCCUAUCCGCCCGGGUACUACGAGCAUCAGCUUAAAACCCAAAGGACUUGGCGGUGCUUCACAUCCGUCUAGAGGAGCCUGUUCUAGAACCGAUAACCCCCGUUGAACCUCACCCUCCCUUGUUAAUACCGCCUAUAUACCGCCGUCGUCAGCCUACCCUGUGAAGGACUAGAAGUGAGCAAGAUUGGUAAGACCCAAAACGUCAGGUCGAGGUGUAGUGUAUGAGAGGGGAAGAAAUGGGCUACAUUUCCUAAAUCAGGAAACACGAACAAUGAACUGAAACAAGCAUUUGAAGGUGGAUUUAGCAGUAAGCAAGAAAACAGAGUGUUCUGCUGAAACAUGGCAAUAAAGCACGCACAUAUCGCCCGUCACUCUCCCCGAGCUAAUACGAAUAUAAUACCUAAAAAAUUACAUCUGCAAAGGGGAGGCAAGUCGUAACAUGGUAAGCGUACCGGAAGGUGCGCUUG